rnacentral:rRNA from 1 species
GUUUAUGGCCUUACCACCCUGAAUGUGCCCAAUCUCAGAAGCUAAGCAGGAUGGGGCCUGGUUAAUACUUGGAAGGGAGAAAACACAGAAGAAGUAGAUA